GAUGAACGCUGGCGGCGUGCCUAAUACAUGCAAGUCGAGCGAACGGACGAGAAGCUUGCUUCUCUGAUGUUAGCGGCGGACGGGUGAGUAACACGUGGAUAACCUACCUAUAAGACUGGGAUAACUUCGGGAAACCGGAGCUAAUACCGGAUAAUAUUUUGAACCGCAUGGUUCAAAAGUGAAAGACGGUCUUGCUGUCACUUAUAGAUGGAUCCGCGCUGCAUUAGCUAGUUGGUAAGGUAACGGCUUACCAAGGCAACGAUGCAUAGCCGACCUGAGAGGGUGAUCGGCCACACUGGAACUGAGACACGGUCCAGACUCCUACGGGAGGCAGCAGUAGGGAAUCUUCCGCAAUGGGCGAAAGCCUGACGGAGCAACGCCGCGUGAGUGAUGAAGGUCUUCGGAUCGUAAAACUCUGUUAUUAGGGAAGAACAUAUGUGUAAGUAACUGUGCACAUCUUGACGGUACCUAAUCAGAAAGCCACGGCUAACUACGUGCCAGCAGCCGCGGUAAUACGUAGGUGGCAAGCGUUAUCCGGAAUUAUUGGGCGUAAAGCGCGCGUAGGCGGUUUUUUAAGUCUGAUGUGAAAGCCCACGGCUCAACCGUGGAGGGUCAUUGGAAACUGGAAAACUUGAGUGCAGAAGAGGAAAGUGGAAUUCCAUGUGUAGCGGUGAAAUGCGCAGAGAUAUGGAGGAACACCAGUGGCGAAGGCGACUUUCUGGUCUGUAACUGACGCUGAUGUGCGAAAGCGUGGGGAUCAAACAGGAUUAGAUACCCUGGUAGUCCACGCCGUAAACGAUGAGUGCUAAGUGUUAGGGGGUUUCCGCCCCUUAGUGCUGCAGCUAACGCAUUAAGCACUCCGCCUGGGGAGUACGACCGCAAGGUUGAAACUCAAAGGAAUUGACGGGGACCCGCACAAGCGGUGGAGCAUGUGGUUUAAUUCGAAGCAACGCGAAGAACCUUACCAAAUCUUGACAUCCUUUGACAACUCUAGAGAUAGAGCCUUCCCCUUCGGGGGGCAAAGUGACAGGUGGUGCAUGGUUGUCGUCAGCUCGUGUCGUGAGAUGUUGGGUUAAGUCCCGCAACGAACGCAACCCUUAAGCUUAGUUGCCAUCAUUAAGUUGGGCACUCUAAGUUGACUGCCGGUGACAAACCGGAGGAAGGUGGGGAUGACGUCAAAUCAUCAUGCCCCUUAUGAUUUGGGCUACACACGUGCUACAAUGGACAAUACAAAGGGCAGCGAAACCGCGAGGUCAAGCAAAUCCCAUAAAGUUGUUCUCAGUUCGGAUUGUAGUCUGCAACUCGACUACAUGAAGCUGGAAUCGCUAGUAAUCGUAGAUCAGCAUGCUACGGUGAAUACGUUCCCGGGUCU
rnacentral:rRNA from 1 species